CCUACGGGAGGCAGCAGUGAGGAAUAUUGGUCAAUGGACGAGAGUCUGAACCAGCCAAGUAGCGUGAAGGAUGACUGCCCUAUGGGUUGUAAACUUCUUUUAUAUGGGAAUAAAAUGUUCCACGUGUGGGAUUCUGUAUGUAUCAUAUGAAUAAGGAUCGGCUAACUCCGUGCCAGCAGCCGCGGUAAUACGGAGGAUCCGAGCGUUAUCCGGAUUUAUUGGGUUUAAAGGGUGCGUAGGUGGAUUGUUAAGUCAGUUGUGAAAGUUUCCGGCUCAACGGUAAAAUUGCAGUUGAGACUGGCAGUCUUGAAUACAGUAGAGGUGGGCGGAAUUCGUGGUGUAGCGGUGAAAUGCUUAGAUAUCACGAAGAACUCCGAUUGCGAAGGCAGCUCACGGGACUGCAACUGACACUGAGGCUCGAAAGUGUGGGUAUCAAACAGGAUUAGAUACCCUAGUAGUC
rnacentral:rRNA from 1 species